AGAGGUUGGCUCCGCCGGCCUUCGCUCUGAUUGGAGAAACUGGCUCCCAGACAGCCGCGGACCUUGAGUUACCGCGGACUGCAGAAGCACGGAGCAGUCUGGCUGUAAUGGGGGGCCUGGCCCCGGGCAAACAACCGAAAUAAUUAGCUAAAUGUGAUAAAAUAUAGCUUGGUAGCUAUUUAAAGACGGUGGCAGUCUGGUUAAGGCAGCCUUGUAUGGGGUUCUCUCUCAGCAAGGCUGCUUGCCAUUUUUUACCUACACGAAUGCAACACUGUUGCAGUAAAAUUGGAACUUCAGCAGCGCGAGCUAGCCCAGCCCUCGCUAGCUGGCUAGCGAACGAAUGGGAAUUAGCUAGUGGAACGGGGCUUCAAUCCGUAUCAGCUUAACCCUCAAACUGGAAUGAACACAGGCUAUGAUGAAUCCCCUGAGAAAAAACUGCAGGUCACUGCCAGUCGGACAAAAGUGGAGUAGCAACGAAACAACUCCCCAUUCCUUCCUUUACCUUCCAUCCUGGGAGAAACACCACACUCUCGCCGUCACGAACAAAUGGAAAAACGAAUUCUGUAUAUUUUAAUUUCAUGUUUUUUGUAAUCAUGUGUAACCUUUUUAUGUUAGUUGUUUUUGUAUAUGGGGGUAUAGAUGAGAUCAUGAUGACUCUGAAGUUUCAUACCUUCUCUGUCUAUCUGUGAUUUAUUAACAUGUUCGAUAUACAGUAGCCUGUAAGGGACUCUAAGCCUUGAUGAUAUGUUUGUUUUUCGGGAAUGAGAGGGAAAGCUAAAAGACACAAAGCAAUGUAAUAACACAGAUACCUGGCCGACUUGAGCAGAGUCUCCUACAGCAAAGACCUAGCCUGGUUCCUAGAUCUGUUUGUGCUGUCUUCCAUGGCAUUGGCAAGAUGGCACAAACAAAUCUGGAACCAGGCUAGCAGAGACCCACAUCUGUGUUUACAAACUCUACAGGUGGCCCCUUUUGGGCUGAUGACAGUAACUGACAGGCAGCAGCAUGUCAUCCACUCUUCCACAGAACAGAACACAAUUCAAACAGCAGCUGGAUCCUCUAUGUAUGUUUUAACACUCACUCAGUUCUAUCUGCGCUGUUCACCUCACACACUCAACAUUGUGAUCUCACAUUAACACAGUAUUUAGUUAGGCCUAGACUUAUAUCAUUGUCUGUACAAACGCACUCUUUUAAAUCAAAUAAAAUGUUUAUUUGUCACAUGCUUCAUAAACGACCGGUGUAGACUAACAGUGAAAUUCUGACUUACGAGUCUUUUUCGAACAAUGCAGAGUUAAAGAAAAAGGUAAACUCUUGAAAGGGAGUGGUUCCACCUCGAAGCAUAACCAUUCAGACAUUGGUUUCAGUAUUUUACCUCUAAUAGUCCUAAUCCUUCAGCUCUUUAGGUGAUUCACACCCUUCAGCUCCCAAAUUCCUCUCUAUGCUCAUUCUCAAAACUCUAAUAUUUACAUACUCUACAGUAUUUACUGAGGCUAAGAGUCCCCCCUUUUUCCAUUUUAGAUACUAAAUGCUUGGUAGUUCAUUCUUUUUUGUUUUGAAAUGUUUAUUUUUUAUGUAGAUUUGCUUUUUUAAGUUUAGAAUGUUUACGUUGCUAGCUAGUAUAAAACCAUGUGUAGACAGACAGUCAUGUACGCUGUGAUGUAUAGAUGUAGUUAUAGUAGAAAUGCAUUGUUUCCUUGUGGUAAGUGAGUGAGAUGCUGCCACGGAACUGAGACACUGAUGAUUGGUGCUAUUUUGGACUUUAAUCUGCUCCUUGGAAAGGUAGCUGAGAUGAAUUGAAUUUUUUACUUUCAUGUUCUGAGUAAGGAAGGUGUUGGUUCUAUGUCGUCUGGUUGUUGUAACUUGGUCUGAAUUGGCUUUGUUUUUCCCUGUUGUUUUCUGUGCGGCUUUCUCAUUGGAUUGAACUUUUUUCAUGGUAGAUGUUUUACUGAAGGAAAAUAGGAUUUCGGUGAGAAGAUUUGAGGAUACACCAUGUUGAUCGGAGCAAUCACAAAACUGCAAUCGUUAACACUUGUUACCCUUUAAAGCUGAGAUUUGCAAUCAAAGGGAUACGUUGUAUCUAGUAGUACCCAGCACAGGUCACUUUUAGAAAAUGUUUAUGUUCUGAUUGACAGACAAUCUUGAAACCAAGAGUGCAUUUUUCCCCUAGCAUGUUUGUGUUUAACAGAUCUCCUAAGAGAUUUUGCACACUUAUGUGAAUUUGUCACAUAAGAAGACGCAACAGAAUGUUAAUGUCAGAUAUCUGCUUCAAGUUGCUUAGCAUAAACAGUGAAAUGUAAAUGCUAUUUUUAGAAAAUGGCACUUGAGAGAACUUGAUAGUUAAAUUUUAAAAUGAAUGAACACACUGAAAUGUGUGUUAAGGCCCAGCCUGUUUAAGGUUUGGGUUCAGGGUUUCAAUUUUCCCUCAUCUCUUUUCUUCACCAGCUGGAUAUGACUUAAUGCUAGUGAGUCAUGUGUGACGUAAUGUUAGUUAACCUGAGACUGGAAUGAUGCAUAUCAUCAUGUUUUAGAAAACCAUUUUCCAAACAGGGCGCACAUGUAGCAUAAAGUUUUAAAACAACG